rnacentral:rRNA from 1 species
GAUGAACGCUAGCUACAGGCUUAACACAUGCAAGUCGAGGGGCAGCAUUUUAGUUUGCUUGCAAACUGAAGAUGGCGACCGGCGCACGGGUGAGUAACACGUAUCCAACCUGCCGAUAACUCCGGAAUAGCCUUUCGAAAGAAAGAUUAAUACCGGAUAGUAUACGAAUAUCGCAUGAUAUUUUAUUAAAGAAUUUCGGUUAUCGAUGGGGAUGCGUUCCAUUAGUUUGUUGGCGGGGUAACGGCCCACCGAGACUACGAUGGAUAGGGGUUCUGAGAGGAAGGUCCCCCACAUUGGAACUGAGACACGGUCCAAACUCCUACGGGAGGCAGCAGUGAGGAAUAUUGGUCAAUGGGCGAGAGCCUGAAACCAGCCAAGUAGCGUGAAGGAUGAAGGCUCUAUGGGUCGAAACUUCUUUAUAUGGGAAUAAAAGUUUUCCACGUGUGGAAUUUUUGUAUGUACCCAUAUGAAUAAGGAUCGGCUAACUCCGUG